CCCUUAGAUGUUCUGGGCCGCACGCGCGCUACACUGAUGCAUUCAACGAGUCUAAAACCUGGUCUGAUAGGGCUGGGUAAUCUUUUGAAAGUGCAUCGUGAUUGGGAUAGAUGAUUGCAAUUCUUCAUCUUCAACGAGGAAUUCCUAGUAAACGCAAGUCAUCAGCUUGCAUUGAUUACGUCCCUGCCCUUUGUACACACCGCCCGUCGCACCUACCGAUUGAAUGGUCCGGUGAAAUCUCGGGACGGCGGCUUGGUCGCUUGCGUCCGACUGCUGAAACUUGAUUAAACCAUAUCAUUUAGAGGAAGGUGAAGUCGUAACA
rnacentral:rRNA from 1 species